rnacentral:rRNA from 1 species
UACGGAGGGUGCGAGCGUUGUCCGGAAUCACUGGGCGUAAAGGGCGCGUAGGCGGCUGGGGAAGUCGGCGGUGAAAGCCCGGAGCUCAACUCCGGGUCGGCCGUCGAGACUCCUCGGCUCGAGCUCACUAGAGGCAGAUGGAAUUCCGGGUGUAGCGGUGGAAUGCGUAGAGAUCCGGAAGAACACCGGUGGCGAAGGCGGUCUGCUGGGGUGAGGCUGACACUGAGGCGCGACAGCGUGGGGAGCAAACAGG